GGGCUUGUGGUUUAGUGGUAUAAUACUGUGAGUUAAUCUGAAUACUCACUCCAAUAUAUCAAAACUAAUAUAUCCUCUAGCCCUUAGCAUUCGGCGCAGCUUCACAGCUCGUUUCUAGUGUCUGGGAGUGGUCCGGGGUUCGAUUCCCCGCGAGUCCA